UACGUAGGGGGCAAGCGUUGUCCGGAUUUACUGGGCGUAAAGAGCGUGUAGGCGGCCCUCUAAGUCAGACGUGAAAUCCCACGGUUUAACCGUGGAACUGCGUCUGAUACUGGAGGCUUGAAUCCGGGAGAGGUGAGUGGAACUGCGAGUGUAGAGGUGAAAUUCGUAGAUAUUCGCAAGAACACCAGUGGCGAAGGCGGGUCUCUGGGCCCGUAAAUUGAC
rnacentral:rRNA from 1 species